GCCAUUUGCAGCAGCAUGGAUGGACCUAGAGAUUGUCAUACAGAGUGAAUUUCCUUCCAGACUCAACUGGAGGUCAGAAGGCACAGGAGCCUGUGUGGUGUGGUCCAUGCACGUGCACCUUCGCAGAUCAGAGGGCAAAAUGGAAGAAAGUGGAGAAUGGGUGUGGGGAGACAAAUACACCUCACACAGAACAACUAGGAUGAAGAAAACAAAAAUCCUCAGAUGAUAUCUACAACCAAAUUAGAUGGUACAGCAACCCCAAGAUCUCCAAAACACGAGCAGACAGCAGCGAGCCACCUAACGCUGCAAGAGGCAAAUGGUAUCAGCAUGUGUGCCAGAGGGAGCAAGAGGAAGAAACAGCCCCAGAGAAAAGCAAAAUCCCCAAAGACCAGUCGGUAUUCCCAGGAAGGCCUGUGAGCCAACUUGAGAGCAGAAUCUGAAACACCAGCGUUUUGUACCACGUGUUGUCAGUAAGAUACAAAGGUGCUGAAAGAGACUGCCCCGCCAAACUCUCAAAACUAACCAGCCUAGUCUCUCUUCCUAGGAGUGUUAAAGAUUUAAGCAGCUCAGGAUCUAAGGAGGAAAAUGAAAAAGAGAGUCCAGAUAAAACAGGGUGGAUUGCGAGGCAGUCCUUUUAGUCUCAGGUCAGCGGCCUUUUAUUAUUUAACUUUUCAUAGAGGCAACAGAAGAUGGCGCCAUAGAGCUGUAAAGUCAGGAAAACAAAUUACACCUCCCACCUUAAAGUUUGGGAAACUAUUAUAAUGUAAGAAUAAAUAACUGAAACAGAUCCAUGCUGAAUCUUACAUAAGAUUAAUAUUUUUUAAAAAUAGAGAGUAAGAAACCAGAUAAGUUCCCUAAAGAAAAUAAAAGGAAGACAUGCUUACAAAACAGACAGAAACAAUGGCCUAGUGUUUCAAAACUAGUUAAAAGACAUUAAAAAUUAUAAAGAAUUGAAAAAACAAUGUAAAUAAGAACCAGAGAAAAUCAGGGAUGAAGUAACAUAAUUCAGAAAAGAAACAUUUCAGGACCUUCUCUCGUGGUGCAGUGGUUAAGAAUCUGCCUGCCAAUGCAGGGGAUACAGG